rnacentral:lncRNA from 1 species
UCCUGUUAACAAUUUCAGAGGUGUUGGUUGGCAUGCAGCUUGUGUGGGCCGAGGUGAAGCACGCUUUAGUCUGUCCCUCAGAAGUUGUUGCCGCCCUCCUCGCUGCCACCGCCGGAGACAAAACAUGGUGGUAAGCCUCCCCACCUCUUAGUUCUUCCCUUUGCUUUGGACAAUUUAUGUACAUGUUAUUACUGUUUAUAAACAUCUUCUGUUGUUAUUGCUGAUAAUCUUGACUUUUCCGGUGUUCAUGGAGGUAACUAAGGUAUAUCUGUGCUGUAGUCAACAAGGGGGCCUACCUAUGAUGCCCAUGCAGUUAAAAAUGUUUGCAGGCCAUCCUAUGAUGUCAGGUUGGAGGCCUACUUAUGAUGUCAGGUUGUUGUACAUUGAAAUUUUGUGGGAUAUUUCUUGCAGAUUGGGAGUUUAUGUUUUUCUCUGUUAGCUUUUAAGAUUGUUGUAGUUAAAACAUGAGAUGGAAGCCUCAGAUUGAAUACUGAGCUAUGUUACAGAAUUACAGUAGUGGCUACCUUCUACAUCAGCCUUUGUUCAAAUAGUCUAUUUUAUAUGUUCGUUCAUGGAAGUUGAUUAUCCUCGCAUACAACUACCCUCAGCUCAGGAAGCCUCAGAUUGAAUACAGAGCUAUGUUGCCAAGGAUUUAGAAGGAAUUAUUUGAUCCUGUUCUGAAAUACUUUUUAAUGCUUAUAUUUGGAUGGGCAUGAUGUGGUGCAUGUUCCACCGAUUCUGGAAGCACACAGUUGAAUGGAAU